rnacentral:rRNA from 1 species
AGGCAGCGAGGUAGGGUAGUUUUGACAGUGGCGAAAGCCUGAUCCAGCCAUGCCGCGUGAGUGAAGAAGGCCUUCGGGGUUGUAAAGCUCUUUUCAGCCGGAAAGAAAUCGCGCAGGAUAAUACUCUGCGUGGAUGACGGUACCGGAAGAAGAAGCACCGGCUAACUACGUGCCAGCAGCCGCGGUAAUACGUAGGGUGCGAGCGUUAAUCGGAAUUACUGGGCGUAAAGCGUGCGCAGGCGGUUAUGUAAGACAGAUGUGAAAUCCCCGGGCUCAACCUGGGAACUGCGUUUGUGACUGCAUAACUAGAGUACGGCAGAGGGAGGUGGAAUUCCGCGUGUAGCAGUGAAAUGCGUAGAUAUGCGGAGGAACACCGAUGGCGAAGGCAGCCUCCUGGGCCAGUACUGACGCUCAUGCACGAAAGCGUGGGGAGC